GGAAAAUCCGCAUUGAAGAACAGAGCAUUUAGCUCUUCUGUCAGAAUGAAUGGGAACCAGAAAUUGGAUGCUUAUAACCAAGAAAAGCAGAAUUUCAUCCAGCACUUCUCCCAGAUCGUCAAGGUGCUGACUGAGGAUGAACUGGGACACUCAGAGACAGGGGAUGCUAUUACCCAGCUCACAGAAGUCCUAGAGUACAAUGCCAUAGAAGGCAAGUACAACUGGGGUUUGACUGUGGUACAAGCCUUCCAGGAGCUGGUAGAGCCAAGGAAACAGGAUGCUGAGAGUCUUCGGCGGGGCCUGACUGUGGGCUGAUGUGUGGAACUGCUCCAGGCUUUCUUCCUCGUGUCAGAUGACAUCAUGGACACUCACUUCCCCGAGGCAGAUCUGCUGGUCUUAGAAGCCAGGCAUAGGCUUGGAUGCCAUCAACAAUGCUCUGCUUUUAGAAGCCUCCAUCUACCACAGGGAGCAACCCUACUACCUGAACCUGUUGGAGCUCUUCCUGCAGAGUUCUUAUCAGACAGAGACUGGGAAGACUCUAGACCUCAUCACGGCACCCCAAGGCUAUGUGGAUCUUGGUAGAUACACUGAAAAGAGGUACAAAUCUAUUGUCAAGUACAAGACAGCUUUCUACUCUUUCUACCUGCCUGUCGCGGAUGCCAUGUACAUGGCAGGCACUGAUGGGGAGAAGGAACAUACCAAUGCCCUGAAGAUCCUGCUGGAGAUGGGCGAGUUCUUUCAGGUCCAGGAUGACUACCUUGAUCUCUUUGGAGACCCCAGUGUGACUGGAAAGGUUGGCACUGACAUCCAGGACAACAAAUGCAGCUGGCUGGUGGUUCAAUGUCAUGUCUGCUACGAGCCAUUCUUCAACAGCGCCAGAUCUUAUUAGAGGAGAAUUAUGGGCAGAAGGACCCAGAAAAAGUGGCGCAGGUGAAAGCACCAUCUGAGGCACUGGAUCUGCAGUCUGUGGUCUUCAAGUACGAGGAAGACAGUUACAACCUCUUCCUUGAGAGUCUUGUAGAGCAGAGCCCCACCCCCAACCAUCUCCCUGGAACUAGAGAACAAGAUCUACAAGCAAAGUGACCUCAGAAUUGUAGAGGCUGGGAGGGAGGGAUCUCAAUAA